rnacentral:tRNA from 1 species
AGUUAAUAAGCUUUAAGAAGCAUGUAUUUUGAAAGUACAAGAUAAAGUAAUCUUUAUUAACUU